AUAAGUUAAUAAGUGAUAACUUUCAGACAUUUACACCACACGCUGCAUCCCCAAAACAUUUCCAUACCGAAUCAUUCGGGCCCUCACAACCCGACUGUGUUACAGCUUCUUCUCCCAAGCCAUCAGACUCCUCAGUACUCGGAGACUGCACUGAUACACACAUGCACGCACGCACACACACACACACACACACACACACACACACACACACACACACACACAGAACUAAACACCAUCCCACUCCCACUGAAAUAUUUGCACAUUCCUGCAUUGACACUGUUGCAUUUUUGCUGCUACUGUAUUAUACAAAUAUCGUAUUUAAUUUAUUGUCACUAUAUACACUUUAUGUGGCUGCUACCACAAUAACUGCUAUGUCCAUAUUUGGUAUAAGCUAAUUUGCUGAAUACUCAGUCAUAGCAUGUUAUGUUUACAUUGAUACAAUUUUACCAUUAUAUUGUUACUCCUUGGCACCUGCCUUCUGCACUACCUGUUAUAUCAGACACUUCCACACUAAAACUGUGUAGGAACUACCACUACUAACUACUGGUAGGAACAACAUCUUUGAAUCCUACAUGAGGAGACAUGGAUACCGGCUUAACUGAAUCUAGAGACUUCUCGGUUUAUUUUGGUUUUUCUUCCCUUCCCCUUUUGAUCCUGUCAUUGUGUGCUUGAGAUCGUUACCGUUGUACUGUUUGAGUUCAUUUCUUCUUCUCAGGUCACGAUUUCCACUCACGCUAAACACUGGAGCACGCAGCAUGGUCCAAAGAGCAAGCACGCGCUUCCGGAUUUUCAGUGACAUUGACUUUGUUUACUUUCUACACGUGCAUCUGUUAUGGUUUAUGUUAUGUUUCCAUCCCUGUAUUGUCAUUGGUUGUAUCUGGUAUGUGUCAUCAUAAGUCUCAGCUGUUUUGUGUUCAUUACGUUUGUCAUUUAAACCCCUCGUGUCUCUUUGUACUUCGCGAAGUAUUGCGUGAGUUUUCCAAAUAACUGCUCCACAUCUGAGAGACUGAGACGGCCUCUCAAGCCAAGUUCCUGUCUAAGGUCGAAGAGAUGGCUUCUCAGGACAAGUUCCUUUCUGAGGCUGAUGAGGGAGUCUCAUCUCCAGAUCUCCUGCUAGAGGUCAAUGAGACAACCUCCCAAGCCAUGUUGCUGUCUUAGGUCAACAAGGUGACCUCCCAUGCCAAGUUCCUGCCUGAGGUUGAAGAGAUGGCCUCCCAAGCCAUGUUCCUGCCUGAGGUUGAAGAGAUAGCCUUCCAUGCCAUGUUCCUGCCAGAGGCUGACUAGGUGGUCUCAUCUCCAGAGCUUCUGCCCCCCUUCUAAUCAGGAAAAAUCUUCUGAACCAAUUCAAUCCCUUGAUCGAACUUCAAACACCUGAAGAUGUGGGCCCGAGUUUGAGAACCUCUACCCUUCGAACAAGCAAACAAUGCUGAGGCACACUGCCAAGUGGCAAACACAACCAAUCACCCAUCAAUCUGUGAGGAAGACAUGACCUCAAGACUGGACCAAGACCAAACAAAAUACCUGUUGUGCACUCUACAGCAAAUGCAAGAUUCAAUCUCAUACUGCCCUCAAAUCACCAAGGGGAAUACAAGUGCAUAGCAUAAUGACAGCCGAUGCUGUAUUGGCUCUUUGGGCAGACAACUCAGCCAUCAGUCUCAAGCUUUUCAACACUUUGAUGCAGAGCAUGCCUGAACUGCCUCACACUGUCAAGCGUACCCGAUUCCCUCUGGACCCUGACUGACAACCAUGGUGAGCGCCAAAGGCAUUUGUGCCCUCGAUGUAAGGUGGAAUGGAAGAUACCUGAACCAUUACUUCCUUGUGUGGGUCUAUACCAGUGCUAUAUAGUAGUCUAUACCAGUGCGGCUCUAUACCAGUGCUAUAUAGUGGUCGCUUAUGCCAGAACACUACAAACACCAGAUCACAAGUAUUCGGACUAUGAAGAGGCAAUGCUCUGCACUGUAUGGGCCAUUCAAUGAUUCUCCAACUACAUUAGGGGACAAAAAGUCAUUGUUGAAACCUGCCACCAACCUGUGACAUUCCUGAACAGCCAGCACAUUCAAGAUGGUACAGUCACCAAUGGACGAAUAGCCAUGUGGCUGAUGACCCUACAAGGACACAAUGUCAAAAGAUGAAAGCCACAAGUCUCCAUUAUGCAAUGGCCUGGCAGCCUGCCAAAACUGUUCUGAAGACACAUGGGGGGGGGGGGGGGGCACAAACCAUGUCCCCCGAACCCAAAACACAGCCAACGGAACAGACCAAUCACAGGUACUUUGGGAAAAGUAUGUGCCAGGACAUGCCCACAGCCUGUGUCAGUGGAUGUUCCUACAACCACCAGGAUAUCUUGAAAGCAGGAGCAGGCAUAGUCUGGUUUAAUGACUAUCCCUGCUCACCACAGCCAUUCCAACUGGGCCCCGACUCCUCAUUAGCAGCCAUCCUCAUAACCCUGCACAUAGCCAUGGUCUAUAACAUCAAAGAACUCGUCAUUUGCACCGUUUCAAUCUAUGCCCUACUGAGCUUCACAUGUCACCUACCAGGUUGGAAGUGGAACAGGUUCAAAACAUCAAACAACAAAUCAGUAAAAGACCAAGACCUUUUCAAAGCAUGUGACGUGAUCACUACAAGACAUGACGUACGUGUGUAUUGGAAGAAAGUAAGGGGCCACUCUUGACAACCAGGACAGGAUAAUUAUUACAAUGACCAAAGCAGACACCCUUGCCAAUGCGGGUGCAAUACACGGCAAACUGUGGGCACCUCCACCCCACCCAACCAACCUAGUGGUUGCCGUCAUGACCCGCCACCAACUUUCCUACUCUAGCAUCUGCCACCCUCAGCCUAGCCACGAUGACCUAAUCACUCAAUAAGCUUCAGACGCAUAUCUAAAGACCCUGAUAGCCCAUCUGUCUGACACCAAUGCCUGCCCUCUCAUGCCUGAUGAUCUCGCUCGGUGCCCAACACUCAAGCGCCUCCAUGACAUCCAGCACAUGUUGCGCCUCAAAGAUGGCAUACUUGUCUAUGUCCCUGAUGAUCUCACGGUGCCUAAACUUGUGGAUCCUCAGGGCCAAUGCCCACGACGCAUACACAUAUGCCCACGAUGCACCAUGUGCCGGCACCACGGUGCCAAGGCCACGUAUGAGACACUAAGA
ensembl:lncRNA